rnacentral:lncRNA from 1 species
UGAGCCCUAGAGCAGUGUCCUAAAGAUCAUGCAAGGCCUAAAAUAAACAAAAAUUUCAAUAAAUCCACAACUAAUUACUCAAUUCAAAUUGACAAAUCCGAAAUGUCCAAAUAAACAAUCGGUUCAAUUGCAAGAUCUUCAAAUGUUCAUCAAUAAAAGAUAAGCUGCUUCUAACUAUCUAGCAGUCUGACUCCAGAUCGAGCUCACUUCUUGUCCCACCCGACAGAUUCUACGAAUCCAGUGCCUCUGAAAAAAAAUGUAAGUGUAGUAUAAGUUUUUCCAGCCCAGUAAGAAUCCCAACAGCCACACACAAUAAUAAUAAUAAAAUAAUCAAAGCAUCAAAAUAAAUGUCAUUUCAUCAUUUCAAAGGCUCAAUAAACAACAAAUAUAUAUAACCAUUUAAUAUUCAUAAAUCCUUUUUCACAUUAUGUGAUCCAUUCCCGUAUUAUUCUGAUUCCCAAGUUUUCAGACUUUUCACUUCUGGCUUUGGACUAACCAAGUUCAUGACCCAGCUAAGACUGCACAAAUCCCACGCAUAAGCUCGUGGCAGCUAUCCCACGCGUAAGCCCGUGGAGGCUAUCCUACGCAUAAGCUCGUAGAGGCUAUCCCACGCGUAAGCCCGUGGAGGCUAUCCUACGCAUAAGCUCGUAGAAGCUAUCCCACGCGUAAGCCCGUCGAGGCUAUCCCAUGACAAGGUUAGUCCAACCCAUUCUUCAUGUCUAGUUUUACAUGUUUAAUCAAAUUCCAAUCACAUCACAUAUUUUCUUAAAUUCUCAAAAAUAUGUUAAUUCUUUCCAAUUUGAUUAUUUCAAUAUUUUCAUAACAAAAUGCACAUCUCAUAUGUGUCAUACAAGCUCAUAAAAUUAAUAUUAACAUACUGAUAAGUUAUAACCAACGAUAAUUUCCAUACAUGCAUAAAUAGGGUGCUCAGUUGUAGGGAUUCUUAUAGAAGUUUGUGGACUGACACAAGCACAGAUCCGAAUCACAACCUACGCGCUGGGGUGCUGAGUCCCCUGAUCAAAAUCUUCUGGCACCGCUGACUCUUCCCCUACAACAUCAAUUAUAUUUCACAGACUAAAUUAUUCAAUAUUUAAAUAUUCUAAAACCAUAAUUCACAUUUACUAUGGGGUCCAUCACCAGGUCCCCAAACAUCUUAAUCUCUCCAGAUCUAGGGACAGUUGGGGUGGCUCGACACCCCACCUUGUACCACCGGUCUAUGUCGUCGCCAGCCGUGGCUGUUGCCACGCCGGCGAUGAUGGCCGGUCCCGGUGAAGAGACCAAAACAAAGGGAUGAUCCCUCUCUCUUCAUGGUUGGGAGUACAUCUUCCCUUCCUCCAUUUCUUUGGUCUAAGGCAGCAGCCAUGAUAGCUGUGCCCUCUCCUUCCCCAACCCGACAACACCACUGGCCGAACCAUCGCCGGCCGCCACUGUUGCAGUCGCCGGCGAUGGUGGCCGGCCAAGAGAGAGAGAAAGAGGUGGUCCCUUCCUCUUCUUCUCCCAAGAACCGGCAUGACCUCUUUCCUCCCUUCCCCCCUCCUCCAUCAUCAACGGCAGACGACCCUGAUGGUGGCUCGGCUCCCCCACCCGACGGCAGCCACAGUGGCUCUCACCGUCGUCACCGGCCGACAGCCAACCGACGAGAGGAAGAGGGAAAGGGGAUGGGAUCACGAGGGAGAAAGCCACGGAUCCACACUUCCCAUCUUCAGUUAACCCUAGAAAUUCCUCACCAAAACCUCCCACAGUUCCGAUUCAACCCAGCUUCCAUGGAUCCGGCCAACCCGGCGGUCGGCAGCGGCGGCAAGAUCCGAAAAAGAGAAGCCAAAACAGGGGUUCCCUGUUUCGAACUCUUCUCCGGCGAUUUCACCGGCCAAACCCCUCCAACGUCUCCCCAAAUCUAGGAAAUGAAGCACAAGGGACUUACCUCAGUCCGACGGGAUGCUCUGGCGACCCUUCCGGCGAGGAAUCGGUGGAGAAAUCCGUGAGUAAACCCACGGAUCCGAGGCCUCUUCGUGCGAUUGGUGGGGAUCCUCGUUAUCCUCCUUGACCGGCCGGCUCACGAGAUCUGCCGCCUUCCCCCACGAUCGCCCUCUUCUCCGGCGAUCAACCUCCCCCGCCGCCGCCCUCCCCUCACGCCGCCGCCCUCCCCCUGUAACCCCUUCUCCCCCGAUCGUGCCCUAGGCACGAUCUUAAUAAGUGGAUGGGCCCGGUCUUUUCGGGCCGGCCCGUCCACCACUUUUUUUUUUUUCCUGGGUUUUACAGACAGACUAGCUUUUGUUUUCAAAUCUGGAAUCAUAGGAAGCCAUUUGUUUGAGAGCAGGCGAGCAAGGGGAUCUUAAGGGAAUU